rnacentral:lncRNA from 1 species
CAGGAAGCCCCUUGUGUGUAUGAAACCUGCCACUACAGAGUGAAGAGACCCAGGAGCAGCUCGAACAGGAUGCGCAAGCAGAAGAGCACGAUGCAUUGGUUUGCAUGGGCAUUUCACACAGGGCAGAGACCACAAGAACACAUCAAGGAUCAUGCUCCUCAUUCAACAGUAUGAGCAGUUUGGUCACAGAACAAGCCCCGUGUGAGUCCAAGUUCUCCCCCUCUAAUGAACCUGCAAACCUGCAACUCAGACUGCAAUAGAUCAAGAAAGGUGAAUACUUUUGCAGGUGGAACAUGAAAAUAUUUGUACAGAUUGGUGAUGAAAGAACCCAAAGUGUCUCAAAAUAUAUAUAUAGGAGAGAUGCUCUCAGAAACUGAGCAUACUGAAUAGGGGCUUAACAAAAAAAAAAAAAAAAAAAAAAGGAAUUUAUGUUCAGAUGGAAACUUUCUGUAAUUUUUGAAUUGUCCUGUUC